rnacentral:rRNA from 1 species
GACGUAGGUGGCAAGCGUUGUCCGGAAUUAUUGGGCGUAAAGGGAGCGCAGGUGGGAAAGUAAGUCUGUCUUAAAAGUGCGGGGCUCAACCCCGUGAGGGGAUAGAAACUACAUUUCUUGAGUGCAGGAGAGGAAAGCGGAAUUCCUAGUGUAGCGGUGAAAUGCGUAGUUAUUAGGAGGAACACCAGUGGCGAAGGCGGCUUUCUGGACUGUAACUGACACUGAGGCCCGAAAGCCAGGGGAGCGAACGGG